rnacentral:rRNA from 1 species
CACGUAGGCGGCCUGGUAAGUCAGAUGUGAAAGCCCGGGGCUUAACCCCGGAAGUGCAUUUGAUACUGCCAGGCUUGAGUAUGGGAGAGGGAAAUGGAAUUCCUGGUGUAGAGGUGAAAUUCGUAGAUAUCAGGAGGAACACCGGUGGCGAAGGCGACUUCCUGGACCAAUACUGACGCUGAGGUGCGAAGGCGUGGGUAGCAAACAGGAUUAGAUACCCUGGUAGUCC